AGCGAACGCUGGCGGCAGGCCUAACACAUGCAAGUCGAACGAACCUUUCGGGGUUAGUGGCGGACGGGUGAGUAACACGUGGGAACGUGCCUUUAGGUUCGGAAUAACUCAGGGAAACUUGUGCUAAUACCGAAUGUGCCCUUCGGGGGAAAGAUUAAUCGCCUUUAGAGCGGCCCGCGUCUGAUUAGCUAGUUGGUUGAUGUAAUGGCUCACCAAGGCGACGAUCAGUAGCUGGUCUGAGAGGAUGAUCAGCCACAUUGGGACUGAGACACGGCCCAAACUCCUACGGGAAGCAGCAGUGGGGAAUCUUGCGCAAUGGGCGAAAGCCUGACGCAGCCAUGCCGCGUGAAUGAUGAAGGUCUUAGGAUUGUAAAAUUCUUUCACCGGGGACGAUAAUGACGGUACCCGGAGAAGAAGCCCCGGCUAACUUCGUG
rnacentral:rRNA from 1 species